GUGCUUGCUUCGGCAGCACAUAUACUAAAACUGGAAUGAUACAGAGAAGAUUAGCAUGGUGCCAGUGCAAAGAUGACACAAAUUCGUGAAGAAAUUCACUUUAAAUAU